GGAGGCAACGGCGCCUCAGGCGGCACCGCCCCCGGGCCGGGCCGGGGCACCGGGCGGGGACAGUCCUGGGCUCGGUGCCUGCAGGAACGCGGCUGUCUGCGGGUCACGGGGGUUACCGUGUGCGCAGAGGGGGUGUCAGACCCAGAGGCAUUGGCAGCGCCUCAGAGCCCCCCCGGACUCAGCUGCUCCCUGCCAGCGCCAGCCCGAGCCACGGGUCUGGGGUCACACAGCCCGCCUGCUGCUGGUGACACCAAACAGUUCUGGGGUCACACAGCAGGACAACAUGCCUGCUGCUGGUGGCACCAAAUAGGUUUGGGAUCACACAGCGGGACAGCCCACCUGCUACUGGUGGCACCACAUAAGAGGGGUCUGGGAAGGUACACAGCGUGUGUCCUGUUUCUGAACUAUCUUCACAAUUAACAGAAUGCAAAAAUCCCUUUCUGCAGAUCAAGCCCAUCCACUGACAUUAAUUUUUGCCUUCGAUCUGCUCAGCCAACAAAAGGAUACCGAAUCCUGUUAUUUCCUGUUUACUGUCCUGCUGGCACGUUCAAGCUUGCUGUCCCUCCUGAGCUGUGGAAGUUUCAACAGAGGACAGAGUGUGGUUCAACCAGAUUUACCCAGAGCAUCUCCCCGACCAGAACGGCUCUAGGAAAUGGAGGUGGCAGUUUCCCAUGUUGCAAAAUGAAACAAAAAAAUUAGUCACCUUA